rnacentral:rRNA from 1 species
AACGAACGCUGGCGGCAUGCCUAACACAUGCAAGUCGAACGAGACCUUCGGGUCUAGUGGCGCACGGGUGCGUAACGCGUGGGAACCUGCCCUUAGGUUCGGAAUAACUCCCCGAAAGGGGUGCUAAUACCGGAUAAUGUCUUCGGACCAAAGAUUUAUCGCCUUUGGAUGGGCCCGCGUUGGAUUAGCUAGUUGGUAGGGUAAAAGCCUACCAAGGCGACGAUCCAUAGCUGGUCUGAGAGGAUGAUCAGCCACACUGGGACUGAGACACGGCCCAGACUCCUACGGGAGGCAGCAGUGGGGGAUAUUGGACAGUGGGCGAAGGCCUGAUCCAGCAAUGCCGCGUGAGUGAUGAAGGCCUUAGGGUUGUAAAGCUCUUUUACCCGGGAUGAUAAUGACAGUACCGGGAGAAUAAGCUCCGGCUAACUCCGUG